rnacentral:rRNA from 1 species
AGUCUUUUAAUUGAUGACUUGGAUGAAAGAUUGGAUGANAAANAAACUGUCUNUUUAUUAAAAAAAAAAUUUAAUUUUUUAAUUAAAAAGUUAAAAUAAAUUUAAAANACGAGAAGACCCCANANAGUUUUAUAAAUUAUAUUAAGAAAGUUUUANAUAAGNAUAAUUAAUUUUUAUAAANAUAAUUUAAUUAAUUGGGGGGAUUAAAAAANUAANAAAACUUUUUUUUUUAAAAACAUAGGUAAAUGAAUAUAUUGAUCCNNUAUUAAUGAAUAUAAGAAAAAAUUACCCUGGGGANAACAGCGUAAUUUUUUUUUUUAGUUCAAAUAAGAAAAAGAGUUUGCGACCUCGAUGUUGGAUUAAGAUAAAAUUUAAAUGC